GAGAGAGGAGAGAGAAGAGAGCUUUUUCUAACUACAGAUGGCAGAAGUUAUGUUGUACUUGAUCAACAUUGUAGUGAGGGAUUCAACCUCGCAAACAUUCAUUCACUGCAGGAGCUUGACAGUGUUAUUGUUCCCUUUAAAGGUGGAGUAACUUUUGAAAACAGCUUGUUUUGCUCCAAUUGGGGGGCGCAAUGGGCUUUUAACCUCUCGCUCCGGCGGUAACUCGCAAGAGUCUUACAAAGCUUCUUACCCUUCCCCUUGUGGGCAAAAAUACGAAACCCCUCCCGAAACCUCUUCACAAGGUAGGGAGCUAAAGUCAACCAUUCCCUUUUCUUCUGCCCUUACAUUUUAUCUCCAUUAACACGCUCCAAAGAUCCUUGCCCACUAACAUCUACCUUCCUAGCAUACUAACACACAGACCAACACAUUCCAAGGAAACUAUAUGUUAUAAAUACUUGUGUAAGAAUUUAGAUAUUAACUCUAUGUUAUAAAUACUUUUUAUAUAUGAUAUUAGAUUUUUAAUGCUAAAUAUUACAAGGAUACAUAACACAAGGAAUUUAGCAAGUGCCUUCCCAACUAGUACGAUAAAAAAAUGCAACAUACAUUAAAUACCUUAAUUUAUUGCUUAGAAAGAUAAAACUUCAAUUUAUUAUUAUUAAUUUUUUUGUUAAAUAAUAAUUAAUGACCGUUGAUUUCUAUUUACAAUGAAAAUAGCGUCGAAUGUGGGCCAUUGGAUGACGAUUGUUGGUUACAGCUAUAAUGCAUCUUUUUACGUAAUAAUCAUAUGGUGUUCAGCAAGUCCAUGAGCUCACAAUCAUUUAUCAGGUGGCAAUAAAUCAUUAAAUGGUCAUUUGAAUUCAACGCUUAUAAUCUCUUUUUUAACGGACGUGGCGCCAAUCUUACAAUAGACACGCAUGAAGGGGAAACGGUUAUGAUCUCUUCUUUAAUUGACGUGGCACCAAUCAUACAAUAGACGCGCGUAAGGGGAAACGUUUCCAAAAAAUUAACUAAACACGGCUUUCAACGCAUGUGGACUGAUGAAAUGGAGACAUGUCCAAAAUAAAUACAAAGCAAACUCAGAGAUAUUCUCUCUCUUGGAGAAAAAAAAUAUGAAAUGGAGAUGAGCCAAUUAGUGCAAAUAUGAUGGGGCAAAAUUGCACUAACCGGCUCCUCUCCACAAUUUUGCACUCAUAUUCCUCUCCAUUUCAAAUCAAAUGGAAAGGAUCCACCUAUUCCAUUUCUUACACCAAACGAACCCAUAUCAGGCGGGCUGGGUGACUUACAAGUCAGGUAGACCUGGUUGUCGAAAACGGGUGUGAAGUGCAACGAAUUUUUUUUACAAAACCAACCCCAAACAAAAACACAUGGUAGUGGGCCAAAAUCCAACAAUGCAUGAGUUUUUUGAAUUCUAAACAAACCCAAGUUUGAGCCCACUUCUAAUCAAGCCCAAAUUCUACAAGUCUUUCAAUCCAUGUUGUCAAAAUUUGAAUUUAAACCGCAAUGCCUUCCCUUCUCACCAUAUCCAACAACAUUAUUUUUAAAUUUGCACUUAACGAGCCUCCCUACUCUGCACAUCCAAUGCAACUAUUUUUGGAAUUUGCCCUUACAGCUACAGCGGAACGAGAAAGAUAAAUACCAAUCAUAUACCACAUGUUCUAGAACUACCCAAAUUGCAUGACGAGGUUGUUAAUGUUCUACCACCGUUGAUGCAUCUUUCUUCUCCUCGAGUACAGUAUCUUCCCUCAAGAGAAUAUGUAAGUAUAUAUAGUUCUUUCAUUUGGUUUUUUUUUUUGGCUUAAUCAAGGAUUUUUUUUAAGUGACAACUUUUUCUCUUUCUAUUUUUUUAUAGUCAUGGUCUGAUUUCAUUCAGCUUGGUAAAACAUGGUCAGGUUGGUCGCAUCAGAUCUGAAAAUGGGGCCAAAAUCAUAUGUUAUUAGGAUUUGAGCUUAUGGGUAGAAAAAUUUUUAGAUCGAUUGACCAUGAGAUUCGUAGGUAUCACCGUUCCUAUAAUUACUGUGGUGAUAUUUACAGUCUAAUAAGAAUAUUGUUGCCCGGGUUCGAUGUUUCAUUACCUUUUGGUCCUCAUCCUUCCCUGGAUUGGAAUUGUUUUUUUUAUGGCGCUUUCUAUGACAUAGUGCAUUUUCACUGCUUAGUAGCAAUGCUAAUGAAGGCUAAUUUUAAGGUUAAUAGUAUGUUUGUCCAUGGACUUUUUGUAUUUUUUUUAUUGAACUUUACCAAGUAUUUGGGAAGCAUGUUUUCUUCAAAUGUUUUUUCCACUUUGCUUUAAUGGAGAAGACAAAUGUAAUUUUGUUAGAACCGUAGUCGAUUUUAGAAAAAGAGAUCCAUAAGGCUUUGUUGGAACUAAGUUUCAAAUCAAAGUCUGAUGGGUUCCUUUUUCAAAAAUCGACCACGGUGCCAACUAAAUGACAUCUGUCUUCCCCAUUAAAGAAAAGUGGAUGAAACAUGUGGACAAAACAUGCUUCACUUGUAUCUGCCAAAUACUCAGUAAAAAUUCUAGAAAAAAGGUACAGAAGUCAAUCGGCAAAUCGACAAACACACCAUUAACCUUCAAAUCAGCCUUCAUUAGCAACGCUACUCAAUAGAAAAAAUGCACCAUGUCAAAAAAAGACCCAUCAAAAAUACAAUUCCAAUCCAAGGCAGGACAGAGACCAAAAGGAAAUAAAAUAUCAAACUUGGCAUCGAUAUUCUUAUUAGAACGUAAAAAUCACAACAGUAAUUACAAAAAUAAUGAUACCUAUGAAUCUCAUGGGCAAUCGACCUAAAAAUUUUUCUACCCAUAAGGCUAAAUCCUAAUAACAUAUCAUUUUGGCCUCAUUCCCAAAUCUGAUGCGGCCAACCUGGCCAUGUUCUACCAAGCUGAAUGAAAUCAAAUCAUAACUAUAAAAGAAUGCAAAGGAAAAAAAUUGUCACCAAAAAAAAAAAAAUCUUUGAUUAUAUAUAUAUUGUUGGGAGUUGGGCCUGAACGACAGAUGUAG
rnacentral:precursor_RNA from 1 species